UUGUUCCCUACCCACUGAAAUCUGUCUCCCCUAUGAAAUAAGAAGGUAAAGUGAAAAGAGACCUUCCUUGCAUGUCCAGAAACCUUGGAUUAUUUUCCUGUUUUUAAUACAUCAUGUCUUUAUUACUGAACAAGUUACUCAACCCCUCUUGGCCUCUGUUCCACCAUCUAAAAGUGAGAGGAACAAAGAUAAUGUUCUCUAAACUCCAUGAAUCUAUUCCAGGUUGCAUAGUGUUAUUCUGAUUUUGACUGUGUUGUAAGAUGAACAAAUGCAUUAAAGUUGUGCAUGGGAGUUCCCGUCGUGGCGCACUCCGAUUCGACCCCUAGCCUGGGAACCUCCAUAUGCCGCGGGAGCAGCCCAAAGAAAUAGCAAAAAGACAAAAAAAUAAAUAAAUAAAUAAAUAAAAAUGAAGUUGUGCAUGGACGUAGAGACCUUAGGAUGUGAGGAAUCAGACUUCAGCAUCCCUGCCAGAAGCAAAGUGUAGAAGUUAUAUUUUGCCUGAUUCCUUUGGAGGUUAUUUUCUCUAUAAUUGCGGUUGCCAGAGAAGGGACCACUCUGUAACUGGAGUAUCAUGUUGUAUCAGUUAUCUAUUGCUAUGUAACAAAUCAACCCCAAAUUUAGCAGCUUAAAUUGAUAAUGAACUGUUAUUUCUCAUGAUUCUGAGGUUCAGGAAUUCCAGCAAGUGUCCGCUAGGCAGUUGUGUUGGCUGUGGUAUAAACUGAGGAUGCUCCCUUGACUGCAUUCUCCUGCAGUUGGGCUGGACGUGGAGGCUGAAGAAGUCCUCACAUACCUAUCUGAUGCCUCGGUGUUCCUCCACUGGCUCCUCUCCUACCACCUGGUCUCAUCUGUAGUCUAGUAGUAGCUUUUCUACAGCCGGAUGACUAGCUUCCCUGGGGGGAAGCAAAAGCUGCUAAGCCUUUUAAAGUAUGGAUGUGUAUUUUUUGUUCACAUCCACCGAGAACUGACACAUCAUCAUAUCUGCCACAUUUCAUUGGUCAAAACAAGUCACAACUCAAAAAGAUUCAAGGAAAGGAGAAACAGACUUGGUAGAAUUGCAUGUGCACAUGGGAAGGGACGGAACAAUGGCAACCGUGUUUGGAAAUCCUCAACUACACACGAAUACAUCUUCCCUUUAUAUUUUAGAAGCCUAAAGGUGUUCGCUCAACAUCCAAAGUAUGUAGUAGUGUUGACGAACCUAAUUAUUCUCUUAAGUAGUGUCGGCUUGAUAAAUAGCACUUUUCCUCUGGGGAAGGAAUGAGAUGCAAAUUCCCACUUUGAAUUGGGUACUUCUCGGACCUGGAUUCCAAGUCUGUACUUUUCUCUUGUAGACGUACAGCCACGUCUUUAGAGUUUUGAUUCAGUGUUUGAUGAACCAAAGUCAAAUCAUGUGAAAGAAAACGUUACCUCUUUCUGAACUUUCUGUAGAGCUGCACUUGCCUUUGGUUGUUGUCAAAAUUCUAUGAAUGUGUUUGCCCAACAGAUCAAAUUACCCAACUGCACGAUUCUAUUUGCUUUUUUAUCAAGGGAGAAUAGGUUCCUUUCUGCUCUCAGUUUUAGUGGAGUUCCUUUUGUCUGUCCCGAUGCUCAUUCAUUCACUUAUUUGUGCAGAUGUGCUGGGUAUAGUCUAUGUGCCCGGCUAAAACGGGCAACGCUUCAGGCAGACAUCACCCUGCUCUCAUGGAGCUGACUUGCUAGCAUGGAACGUGGAUAAUGGAGAAAUAACCUAUUGAUUACAAUUGCAAUGUAAGCUACAAAGGAAAAGUCUAAACAGUGAGUGCUCUGUCAUAGAGACCCAACUUGGUAUGAGACACUGGCAGAGGCCUCUCAGGGGGAGUAAUGUUGAAAGCUGAACUCUGGAGCAGGGGUAGGGGGAGCAUCCGCUAGGUGAAAGAAGCGUAGAAGAAGGAAUUGAGGAGGGGGUGCUCCAGGCAGAGGGAACAUCCCAGACAAAGACCCUUUGGAAGAGAUUAGGAUGGGGAGGGUUCGAGAAAUUGAGAAGAGUCCAGUGGGAAAUGACAAGGUCAGGGUGAAGACGUGCAGCAUAUGGAACCUAAAAUAGCCACUUCAGAGCUGCGACACUUUGGGCAUAAUGUUCUCUGAGCCUUAGGGAGAGGAGACAAAGGGCAAUAGUGACUCUUCUUUUUUUAUUUUAUUUUAUUUUUUUUAUUUUCCCACUGUACAGCAAGGGGGUCAGGUUAUCCUUACAUGUAAAACUGUAAUUGUAAUAGUGACUCUUCUUUACCAACCAUCCCACCCCAAAGAGGCCAGUAAAGAAAUCUCACCCGCCGUCUGGCUAAUCAUGUUGCUACUGGGGGUUUAAGAGCAUCAUUAAUAUCUUCUAAGUUCCGGGUCCCCUGUUACACACUGGGAGUGGAACCAUGCACAUCGCAGGUACACAGCAAAGAUGAGCUCAUGAGAGCAAAAGACAGUGCCCUCCAGGAGCCCUCAGCCUGUUUGGUAGGGAGUGGAGGGGGAGGAUGGAGUGCGGCCCCGAAAUGCAGUCAGAACCACGAUGAAAUAAUUUGGGGGUACAGUCAGGUUAGAUUAAGAUCUUCGGUAGCCCUAGGGACUGAAAACGGACUGCGCCCUCCCUUCCAUCCAAAUGCAGUUCGAAAUACUAUUUUAUGUUUUCAAAUGACAAGGGAGAAAAAAGCACCAAAAAUGAAAGAAAUCAUCUCUAGAUUUUUUGAUUAUGUAGUUUUGGUUAAGUUCAUCGAAGUCGAACUAUACUCAUUGUAUUUAGUAGCUAGUGUAUACCUUUUGGCAUACACUUUGCCAAUCACCUAGGCACAUGUUUGUCCUAUGUUUGCCCCAUAUUUUAAGGAGUUUUGCAGUGACUGACAUUCUAGCCUAUGACAGAGGAGAAAGAGUCAUUCUUUUCAGGUGUUGAGUUGGGGAAGGAGAAUAGGAGAGGAGGCAUCAAUUAAGCCUUGUUGUAAAAAAUAAUGCAUUACUUAGGAAACAGAUUCUGGUUGCUUUUUUUGGGGGGGGGGAGGGGGGCUGUACCUGCGGCAUAUGGAAGUUCCAGGCUAGGGGUUGCAUGGGAGCUGCAACUGCUGGCCUACACCACAGCCACAGCAAUGUGGGAUCAGAGCUGUGUCUGCAACCUACACUGCAGCUCACGGCAAUGCUAGAUCCUUAACCCACUGAGUGAGGCCAGGGAUAGAACCCCCAUCCUCAUGGAUACUAGUUGGAUUCUUAAACUGCUGAGCCACAACAGGAACUCCCUGGUAUUUUGUUAAGUCCCUAAUAUGACAGUGGCUUAAAUAAGAGAGUCUCACCUUAACCAUACACACAUAAGCAGUUCCAGGACCAACAUGGUGGCUUGGCAGUGUCCUAGUCCCUGGUUCCUUCGAUGUUAUUGCUCUGCCGCCCUCAGCACAUGGGUUCCCUCCAUCAUUUCUUGACCCAGAAUGGCUGCUCAGCUCCCACAUCUGCAUCCAGUCUGCAGAAAGGGGGGAAGGAGAUAAGGAGAAAGCGUGCUCAUUCGUUCAUAGGGUGCCACCCACUUUUGCUCAUGGCCAAUGGGCCAGCCCUAGUCAGGUGGUUAUAUCCAGCUGCAAGGGAGGCUGGGUACUGUAGUCCUUAGCUGGGUGGCCAUGCUACCACCCAGGGAACCCCAUUACUAAAGGAAGACAGGGAGAAUGGAUAUUGGAGCACAUUCAGCAGCUUCUCCACAGAUGGCAGGUGGGCAUGGCCAGGAUGGGUGGCCACAAACAGGAGCUUAGGAAAAUCAUCUGUGAGGCUUUACGAUGCCCGCUCUAUAGAAGAGGGACAUAGAAACACAGACAGGUUAAGGUAGACACCAAGGUGGCAGUGGGAGUCGUCCUACCCUGGGGCCAGGCAGUAAAGAAGUACAUUGUCUGGACCAGAAGAACCAAACCCAUGGAAAGCUCUUCUGUUUUACAUUAUGCACUAGCGGUUCCCACGUGUCAGAGAUCAAACACUCCUCCCCACUGGCACAGACCCCUCCCACUGCCCCCCGGCCCGCACACCAUUGCCAAGGCCGGCAAGUGCCAAAAGAGGGUCUGAGCCAUCGAGAGCCUGAACAAAGCGCUGGGGAGGAGCCGGGCAGUGGUACAUACCGCUUCCCCAGCACACGCACAUCUUCCCCUGGCUUACGCCUUUGCCAGGGACUGAUAAACCCUGUCCUUGAACCCAGUGUGUCCUGGUGUUCAAGGUCCUGUUUGCAUCGUUUUCAAAUCCUGGCUGUCUCACUUCCUAGGUCUGUAAUUCUGAACAAGUCCGUGAGCUUAUAGUCUGUCUAAACCAGGGAUUCUCAAACUUGAAUCCGUGUGAAUCAGAGUCACCCAGGGGCCUUGUUAAAAUGCAGUUUCUGAUUCAGUGGGUCUGGGCUGGAGCUGGUGAAUUUGAAUUUCCAACACAUACCCAAAUGACGCUGAUGCUGUUGGUCCAGAGACCACACUUUGAGACAUGGGCCUGAGUGGAGGGAAGCGAGUUGCCUUUCAGUUUGGUGGCUGCAGUGGGUCGUCAAAGGUCCUGGGAGUUGUAACUGUUCUUGAAAACAGAACAUACAUGCUAAUGACACAUGAUAUUACUUAAUGAUUUACAGUGUUCCCUUUUCUUUCCAAAGCCCAAGUAUUAUUAAUAACAGCAACAGCUAACUGUCUUCUUCAGGCUCACUAGAUUUUUAAGCUCAAUGAGACAAAGGACCUUUAAAAAUACAGCUUUUCAAAUACACCGCUAGGGAGUUCCUGCUAUGGCACAGCAGGACUGGUGGUGUUUCUGCAACACCAGGACGCAGGUUCUAUUCCCAGCCCGGCACAGUGUGUUAAAUCAUCUAGCAUUGCUGCAGCUGUGGUAUCAGUCCCCACAGCUGCAGCAUAGGUGGCAACUGCAGUUUGCAUCUGAUCCCUGGCCCGGGAAGGCCAUAUGCCACAGGGCAGCCAGAAAAAAAAAAAAAAAAAAAAAAA
rnacentral:lncRNA from 1 species